AAAGUAAUAUUGAUUUAGUUUUCAUAAAUUAUGAUUGUCAUGCAAGUUUACAAGUAUUUGGAACCGUACUACAAUAAUUUAAAUAAAAAAAAUAGGCUGCUUCCUCCUGUCUAAAGUGAUUACAAUUGAAUUUCGAAUUUGCCGCCAUAACCUCGGAGCGUACGUGUGUGAAAUGUUUUCAUAUUUCGAUUAAUUAUGGCGGACUGUGGCUGAGCGAAGUUCAUUUUUCCAUCCGGAGUGCAAAUAAUUCGUUGAAACGUUGAUGUGCUUCGAUAAAUAAGUGCAGAGGCGGUCGGGGAGUAUCGGGUGGGCGGCGUUCGGCGAUGGCGGAGAACAGGGGUUCGGUAGACGUCGUUAUGCCGGACAUUACCGAAGUGACCGAGCCCGAUCCACUGGCGGCGGCGAGCGAGCGCGAAGUCGAGAGGCUGGAGCGCGACGGCGGCGCGCUCAAAGCGGCCCGUCUCGCCGAUUCCAACGGCGUGGUGACCGUGCCCGUGUCCCUACCAGUCGGGACUCUUAUAACGGGAACGACCUUCAAUGUGAUCACAUCUGACCAGCUGCCGGGGCAUUUUAAGCCGAUGCUCUGCGUGGACAACGGCUUCAUAUCAGGCGGGCCGGUGAACGAGGAUAUAAAAGCGACACAUAUAGUGAUACAAAACCCGCCGUCGCCGCGGCACGAUGAGGGUUCCCAGGCGCCAGCGCGAGCGAGCGCGCGCUCGUGGGCAGAGACGGCGAACAUGCCCAUUCUGCCGGUGCGGUGUAAAAAUACGUCUGCAGAGUUGCACAAGCAGCGGUUCGGUUCGGGAGGCCGCGGGAGGUGUAUUAAGUACGGACUGGAGUGGUACACGCCGAGCGAGUUCGAGGCGUUGUGCGGGCGGGCGUCGAGCAAGGACUGGAAGCGCUCGAUAAGGUUCGGCGGGAGGAGCAUCCAGGCGCUGAUAGAUGAGGGCGUUUUGACGCCGCACGCCACCAGCUGCACAUGCGGCGCGUGCUGCGACGAUCAGUCCGCUAUGGGCCCAGUCCGUCUCUUCACACCCUACAAGCGACGGAGACGCAACCAAGAUGAGGGCACCGAGAAGAAGCCCAAGAUAAAGCGAGACAGCAGUCUCGGGGACAGCGACAUGGACAACAUACACAACACGAGCAACAACAGCCACUCGAAGGAGGCCUGGCAGACCAUAGCGGAGGGCUUGGAGAGUAAUGCGGACUAUCAUCUGCUGGAGGCGCCGGACGCGAGCAACGAUCCUACUGCCAAUCUACCAGACAUGAGUGGCGUGCUGAAGCGUCUCGACGACAUCGGGUCGACACUGUCACGACUAGCCACCGAGUUGAAGCAGUGUGUGGAGGACGUCAGGGGAGUCUCCGCGCGGCAGCUCGCGAGGAUAGAACAGGAGAGGGCGGGGGCGUUGUUGCACGCGGUGGAGCACGCCGAUGCGGCGCUACAUAGCGCUGACGACGCUGAGUCUAAGAAGUGUGCAAACUGCAAUCGCGAGGCGUCAGCAGAGUGCUCGCUCUGCCGCCGCACCCCUUACUGCUCCACCUACUGCCAGAAGAAAGACUGGGCCUCCCACCAGAUUGAGUGUCUCCGCUCCGUGCCCACCAUCCACGACCAGCACCAGUCCAUCAUGCUCAUCGUGGAGAGCCAGCACCAAUAGCGAGAGCCUAAUCUGGAGAGGCUUCGCCCGAGUGUCCUACGUCGGAGAUGACAAAGCCCGCCCCUGCCAGAAUAGGGGCUCCACUAAAUGCCCUAACAACUGUGACUUCUGUCAGAAUACGGACAUUUAUACCGCUACCAGACUUAAACCCCUGCCAGAAUAGGGGCUUCACUACAAGUCAUAACAACUCACAGUGA